rnacentral:rRNA from 1 species
UUCCGGUUGAUCCUGCCGGAGGCUACCGCUAUUGGAGUUCGAUUAAGCCAUGCGAGUCGUGAGUCCUAGGGACUCGGCGUACCGCUCAGUAACACGUGGGUAACCUGCCCUAUGCUGGGGAAUAACCUCGGGAAACUGAGAAUAAUGCCCCAUAGUUCACCACACCUGGAACGGUGGGUGGAUGAAAGCUCCGGCGGCAUAGGAUGGGCCUGCGGCGUAUCAGGUUGUAGGGGGUGUAAUGUACCCUCUAGCCAUCUACGCGUACGGGUGUUGAGAGACAUCGCCCGGAGAUGGAUUCUGAGACACGAAUCCAGACCCUACGGGGUGCAGCAGGCGCGAAAACUUGGCAAUGCGAGCAAUCGUGACCAGGGAACUCCAAGUGCAUCGGGUAAGACCGAUGCUUUUCUUGACUCUUCAAAGGUCUUGGAAUAAGGGGUGGGUAAGGACGGUGCCAGCCGCCGCGGUAAUACCGGCGCCUCAAGUGGUAGUCGCUUUUAUUGGGCCUAAAACGUCCGUAGCCGGUUUGGUACAUUCGUGGGUAAAUCAAGACGCUCAACGUCUUGAAUUCUGCGAGCACGGCCAGACUUGGGACCGGGUGAGGGUGUGGGGUACUCUCAGGGUAGGGGUAAAAUCCUGUCAUCCUGAGAGGACCACCUGUUGCGAAGGCGCCACACUAGAACGGAUCCGACGGUCAGGGACGAAGCCUAGGGGCACGAACCGGAUUAGAUACCCGGGUAGUCCUAGGUGUAAACGCUGUGGACUUGGUGUUGGGAGUGCUCCGAGCACCCUCAGUGUCGAAGCGAAGGUGAUAAGUCCACUGCCUGGGGAGUACGGUCGCAAGGCUGAAACUUAAAGGAAUUGGCGGGGGAGCACUGCAACCUGAGGAUUGUGCGGUUUAAUUGGAUUCAACGCCGG